rnacentral:tRNA from 2 species
AAGCUUAGGUUAAACUAAACCAGAGGCCUUCAAAGCCUCAAACAUGAGCACACAGCCCUCCUAGCCUCU